AUAUCUUUCUCGACCUUUUGGCUAACAUCAAUUGUAGUAUCUAUUUUUAUCCAUUCAGUGUAUGAGAUGUGCGUCAUUGAUUCAUAUGAUAUUAACUCAAUUUUUUUUAAGGAAAAAUGUCCAUCUCGAUAGGUUGCUACCGUGUCCUUCAUGCAUUGUCUUCGUGUUGCAAUAUUGCCUUGGCCUAGCGCACCCAAC